rnacentral:rRNA from 1 species
GACUACAAUCCGGACUACGAUACACUUUCUGCGAUUAGCUCCCCCUCGCGGGUUGGCGGCGCUCUGUAUGUACCAUUGUAUGACGUGUAGAACGCCCUACCCAUAAGGGGCCAUAGAGGACUUGACGUCAUCCCCACCUUCCUCCGGUUUGUCACCGGCAGUCUCAUUAGAGUGCCCUUUCGUAGCAACUAAUGACAAGGGUUGCGCUCGUUGCGGGACUUAACCCAACAUCUCACAGACACAGACGCUGACAGACAGCCAUGCAGCACCUGUGUACUGGUUCUCUUUCGAGCACUCCCUGAUCUCUCAAGGAUUCCAGCCAUGUCAAGGGUAGGUAAGGUUUUUCGCGUUGCAUCGAAUUAAUCCACAUCAUCCACCGCUUGUGCGGGUCCCCGUCAAUUCCUUUGAGUUUUAAUCUUGCAACCGUACUCCCCAGGCGGUCUACUUCACGCGUUAGCUGCGUUACCAAGUCAAUUAAGACCCGACAACUAGUAAACAUCGUUUAGGGCGUGGACUACCAGGGUAUCUAAUCCUGUUUGCUCCCCACGCUUUCGUGCAUGAGCGUCUCUUGACCCAGGGGGCUGCCUUCGCCAUCGGUGUUCCUCCACAUAUCUACGCAUUUCACUGCUACACGUGGAAUUCUACCCCCCUCUGCCAGAUUCUAGCCUUGCAGUCUCCAAUGCAAUUCCCAGGUUGAGCCCGGGGAUUUCACAUCAGACUUACAAAACCGCCUGCGCACGCUUUACGCCCAGUAAUUCCGAUUAACGCUUGCACCCUACGUAUUACCGCGGCUGCUGGCACGUAGUUAGCCGGUGCUUAUUCUUCAGGUACCGUCAUUAGCAAGAGAUAUUAGCUCUCACCGUUUCUUCCCUGACAAAAGAGCUUUACAACCCGAAGGCCUUCUUCACUCACGCGGCAUUGCUGGAUCAGGCUUUCGCCCAUUGUCCAAAAUUCCCCACUGCUGCCUCCCGUAGGAGUCUGGACCGUGUCUCAGUUCCAGUGUGGCUGGUCGUCCUCUCAGACCAGCUACUGAUCGAUGCCUUGGUAGGCUUUUACCCUACCAACUAGCUAAUCAGAUAUCGGCCGCUCCACGAGCAUGAGGUCUUGCGAUCCCCCACUUUCAUCCUUAGAUCGUAUGCGGUAUUAGCGUAACUUUCGCUACGUUAUCCCCCACUCUAGGGUACGUUCCGAUAUAUUACUCACCCGUUCGCCACUCGCCACCAGAGCAAGCUCCGUGCUGCCGUUCGA